rnacentral:rRNA from 1 species
UACGUAGGGGGCAAGCGUUGUCCGGAUUUAUUGGGCGUAAAGAGCGUGUAGGCGGCUAGAUAGGUCCGUUGUGAAAACUCGAGGCUCAACCUCGAGACGUCGAUGGAAACCAUCUGGCUAGAGUCCGGAAGAGGAGAGUGGAAUUCCUGGUGUAGCGGUGAAAUGCGCAGAUAUCAGGAAGAACACCCGUGGCGAAGGCGGCUCUCUGGGACGGUACUGACGCUGAGACGCGAAAGCGUGGGGAGCGAACAGG